rnacentral:rRNA from 1 species
UACGAAGGGGGCUAGCGUUGCUCGGAAUUACUGGGCGUAAAGGGCGCGUAGGCGGGUCGUUUAGUUAGAGGUGAAAGCCCAGGGCUCAACCCUGGAAUUGCCUUUAAUACUGGCGGCCUUGAGUAUGGCAGAGGUGUGUGGAACUCCGAGUGUAGAGGUGAAAUGCGUAGAUAUCGGAAGGAACACCGAUGGCGAAAGCAGCGCGCUGGACCUCUACUGACGCUGAGGCGCGAAAGCCAGGGGAGCAAACGGG